ACAUCUGUGGGGAUGGUUUGCGUUUGACUGUUUAGAAACAAACAUUUUGGCAUAUUGUCGAUAGGUGUUAGUGGUGUAGCCACUAUGUUAGGCUAGGCUAGGCCAACUUCAUCGAUAGCCACUAAACGGUCUUGCAGAACUAGGCUUCAUUUGCGCGCUUGCGUAUUGUCAAUUCAUAUUAUAUUAUUUGAAUUUGGAUGAAUGGCAACUUGUAUCGCGGUCAAGGAACCCCUACAGAGGAACAUUCAUUCCAGAAAUGGAUCGCCCAAAGCUUAAACGAAGUCACAGCCUGGAUGAUAUCCGACCAAAAUUCCACACAUUGGAAGACUGCAUUGAGUCUUAGGAUGGCAGCAGGAGAAAAGGGCAGUUCUGCGCCUCCACUCCCAGCAGCUGCCUGUAAGAGUGAGAAGAUGAAGCUGGUAGCUCAGCACAUGUGGACAUGAGGAGAGAGAUGCAUCAGCUUCCGCCUCUGAGAAGUUGUCUGAAUGAUCUCAGUCAACCCAACGAUAAACAAUAGGGGUGGCUUAAUCGUAUGAUUUGUUAGGAUGAGCUGUGAGAUCAGGUUGGUCAACCACUACUCCCAAUGCUGGGAAAAGGCUCAGACAUGGACAUCAUGGAUGUUUAAUUUAACAUUUUCAAAUAUUUGACAUGUAUUGCCUAUUUCAAUGGAGCGACAUUCACUGAAUGGACACUGUCUGUAAAGCCCUCCUUACACUGAAAGACUUUGCAAAGAUUUGGAAAAGGUUUUUGAAAGACAGUCUCAGACCCUGCAUCUAAAGAAAAAUCAUAGUCACAGACUAGUAUCUUGCAGGGUCACUAUUUACAAUACUGCAACUAAAUUGAUAAUUUUUUCUCCCCAUCAUGCAAUAUCAACAGGAACUCAAAUGAUCGCAUACUCAAAGGCAUAUUUUUGUGUUUCUGCAACAUUGUUUCAUGCAUGGCAUCCCUAACUGAUAUAGACAUGUUCUGUUGCGUGGGAUUGCAGACUUAUUAUACACAAAUGAUCAUAUUCAUGGGUUUCAUCAGGUCCCUUGCCACAGGUGUAGGCUGUAAAGCCAAGCACCUACAACAGAGGCUCUUCUCAUUCAUCUUUGUAUCUAUCCUCCCUUCCUUCCUCGGUCCUCUGGCUCGUUCGUGACGUUGACUAGCAUUUUAAGCUAUUUUCUGCCAUUUUUGUGGGACAACUGUUCAUAUCAUUCUCCCGUUUAUGCAUCUCAUUAACUUUUGUUUUUGCAUGCAACACCCAUUGUUGAUGACUCAUCCUUGGUUCAGUUCAAAACUGGAGGAAAUGUGGGCUGCCUCUAGUCUGGCUAUCACCAUACUAAGCUCAAUCGUUUAACAUUGAACAUAAGUAUGGGGAGUCUGUGCUUCAUUUCUUCUGCACAGGAGGUGUGAUCAAUGGGCAUCGUUCAAAUGACUCCGUACGCUUGGAUAGCCCUUUCAACCAAUCAGAACAACGAUCCGGUGUGUCUUUGGAUAAGCUGGUUUGUGAUUGGACCCAAAGGUUGUAGACAGGAGGCAGGGGAGAUAGAUGUGCAGGUUUCCAGCCUGAGCUGCCGGGUGAAAUCCAAAUUCGCCGGCAGGUCAGGCAGGGUUCACCCAGCCUACGCUGAAUCACUAAAGAGCACCACGGUUCAAAGAAUUCCAAACGGCACUGGUUCAACACCGGGUUCCCUGUCGGUGGUAAACCGCCUUAAAAGUCUUACUAUAAUAUUAAACAUGGCUGGCUCAAACUGUUAUCACCUUAUGGUAAAUAUCUUUGUAUGUUCUAUUGUGUUACCUUAACUAUGAAUGUAAAUGUAUGUUGUAUGUGAAAAUGUUCAGAGAUGAGCUACAUUUAUCAAAACAACUCUUCCCCUUAAACUUAAAAUGCAAGUUGGCAUGCUGGUGAAUAUUUGCUGGAGUUUGAAAGCAAUAAAGCACUAGUAGCUACUGUG